GGCUUUAUAGUCAUAUAUAAAAAUGAUAUUAGACUGCAAUUCUAAAGGAGUACAUAGUGCUAAGGCUU
rnacentral:tRNA from 1 species